CCUACGGGGAUCAGCAGUUAGGAAUAUUGGUCAAUGGGCGCACGCCUGAACCAGCCAAGUCGCGUGAGGGAUGACGGUCCUAUGGAUUGUAAACCUCUUUUGUCGGGGAGCAAGGCCCGCCCCUUGUGGCGGGAAGGAGAUUACCCGAAGAAAAAGCAUCGGCUAACUCCGUGCCAGCAGCCGCGGUAAUACGGAGGUUGCGAGCGUUAUCCGGCUUUAUUGGGGUUAAAGGGUGCGUGGGCGGAAGGUUAAGUCAGCGGUAAAAUGUCGGUGCUCAACACCGGCCUGCCGUUGAAACUGGUCUUCUUGAGUGAGCGAGAAGUAUGCGGAAUGAGUGGUGUAGCGGUGAAAUGCAUAGAUAGCACGCAGAACUCCGAUUGCGAAGGCAGCAUACCGGCGCUCAACUGACGCUGAGGCACGAAAGCGUGGGGAUCGAACAGGAUUAGAUACCCUGGUAGUC
rnacentral:rRNA from 1 species